rnacentral:rRNA from 1 species
CCUACGGGCCGCAGCAGUGGGGAAUAUUGCACAAUGGGCGCAAGCCUGAUGCAGCCAUACCGCGUGUAUGAAGAAGGCCUUCGGGUUGUAAAGUACUUUCAGCGAGGAGGAAGGCAUUAAGGUUAAUAACCUUGGUGAUUGACGUUACUCGCAGAAGAAGCACCGGCUAACUCCGUGCCAGCAGCCGCGGUAAUACGGAGGGUGCAAGCGUUAAUCGGAAUUACUGGGCGUAAAGCGCACGCAGCGGUCUGUCAAGUCGGAUGUGAAAUCCCCGGGCUCAACCUGGGAACUGCAUUCGAAACUGGCAGGCUAGAGUCUUGUAGAGGGGGGUAGAAUUCCAGGUGUAGCGGUGAAAUGCGUAGAGAUCUGGAGGAAUACCGGUGGCGAAGGCAGCCCCCUGGACAAAGACUGACGCUCAGGUGCGAAAGCGUGGGGAGCAAACAGGAUUAGAUACCCUCGUAAUC